AGUGGCGGACGGGUGAGUAACGCGUAAGAAUCUAACUUCAGGACGGGGACAACAGUGGGAAACGACUGCUAAUACCCGAUGUGCCGCAAGGUGAAACCUAAUUGGCCUGGAGAAGAGCUUGCGUCUGAUUAGCUAGUUGGUGGGGUAAAGGCCUACCAAGGCGACGAUCAGUAGCUGGUCUGAGAGGAUGAGCAGCCACACUGGGACUGAGACACGGCCCAGACUCCUACGGGAGGCAGCAGUGGGGAAUUUUCCGCAAUGGGCGAAAGCCUGACGGAGCAACGCCGCGUGAGGGAGGAAGGUCUUUGGAUUGUAAACCUCUUUUCUCAAGGAAGAAGUUCUGACGGUACUUGAGGAAUCAGCCUCGGCUAACUCCGUGCCAGCAGCCGCGGUAAUACGGGGGAGGCAAGCGUUAUCCGGAAUUAUUGGGCGUAAAGCGUCCGCAGGUGGUCAGCCAAGUCUGCCGUCAAAUCAGGUUGCUUAACGACCUAAAGGCGGUGGAAACUGGCAGACUAGAGAGCAGUAGGGGUAGCAGGAAUUCCCAGUGUAGCGGUGAAAUGCGUAGAGAUUGGGAAGAACAUCGGUGGCGAAAGCGUGCUACUGGGCUGUAUCUGACACUCAGGGACGAAAGCUAGGGGAGCGAAAGGGAUUAGAUACCCCUGUAGUCCUAGCCGUAAACGAUGGAUACUAGGCGUGGCUU
rnacentral:rRNA from 1 species